AGUGAACGCUGGCGGUAGGCCUAACACAUGCAAGUCGAACGGCAGCACAGUAAGAGCUUGCUCUUACGGGUGGCGAGUGGCGGACGGGUGAGGAAUACAUCGGAAUCUACUUUUUCGUGGGGGAUAACGUAGGGAAACUUACGCUAAUACCGCAUACGACCUACGGGUGAAAGCAGGGGAUCUUCGGACCUUGCGCGAUUGAAUGAGCCGAUGUCGGAUUAGCUAGUUGGCGGGGUAAAGGCCCACCAAGGCGACGAUCCGUAGCUGGUCUGAGAGGAUGAUCAGCCACACUGGAACUGAGACACGGUCCAGACUCCUACGGGAGGCAGCAGUGGGGAAUAUUGGACAAUGGGCGCAAGCCUGAUCCAGCCAUACCGCGUGGGUGAAGAAGGCCUUCGGGUUGUAAAGCCCUUUCGUUGGGAAAGAAAAGCAGCAGGUUAAUACCCCGCUGUUCUGACGGUACCCAAAGAAUAAGCACCGGCUAACUUCGUGC
rnacentral:rRNA from 1 species